GACGAACGCUGGCGGCGUGCCUAAUACAUGCAAGUCGAACGCACAGUUUAUACCGUAGCUUGCUACACCAUAGACUGUGAGUUGCGAACGGGUGAGUAACGCGUAGGUAACCUGCCUGGUAGCGGGGGAUAACUAUUGGAAACGAUAGCUAAUACCGCAUAAUAUUAAUUAUUGCAUGAUAAUUAAUUGAAAGGUGCAAUUGCACCACUACCAGAUGGACCUGUGUUGUAUUAGCUAGUAGGUGAGGUAACGGCUCACCUAGGCGACGAUACAUAGCCGACCGGAGAGGGUGGGCGGCCGCACUGGGACUGAGACACGGCCCAGACGCCUAGGGGAGGCAGCAGGAGGGAAUCGUCGGCAAUGGACGAAAGUCUGACCGAGCAACGCCGCGGGAGGGAAGAAGGUUUUCGGAUCGUAAAGCUCUGUUGUAAGAGAAGAACGGGUGUGAGAGUGGAAAGUUCACACUGUGACGGUAUCUUACCAGAAAGAGACGGCUAACUACGUG
rnacentral:rRNA from 1 species